GUGCCCACUUUGGCAGCAUGUAUACUAAAAUUGAUACAAUUCAGAGUUAGCAUGACCCUUGCUCAACGUUGACACAAAAUUCAUGAAGCAUUCUAUAUUUUU